GGGAAUCUGACUUUGAAGACCAAUGGGAUUUGAUUAUAGAACUUCCCCGAACUGCGGAAACAGACUCUUGGAGGACACACCACCACCUUGUGUGCAUCAGGACCCAGGAAAAAGGAGCAGUGACCCCAGAAGAGAGUGAGCCAGACUUGCCUAUCAUCUAUUUCCCUGACAAUGGAAAAAUGAGCAAAUCAAAUUCUUCAGAAAACUUGUUCCAUGCUUCCCUGUGUCUGCUAGUCUAGGCCUGAAGUCCUGAAGCCUUUCAUUAUAGGGUUAGAAACUGACAAGAUUUUCAAGACCACUUACUACAUUCGGAAAACUCCAGUGAGGCAGAAAUGCAGUGACCACAUCCAAGACGUUCAGAGUAAUGGUUUAACUCUCCUGACUAGGAACCCACCUUCUCUUCCUAUCCCUUUACCCCAGCAAGUCGCUUUACCAUCUCGAGGCCUCUCUGUAAAAUGACAGCAGAAUGACUGUGUCUAGGAUUUCUCACUAGAAUGGCAACUAUGAAGGUCCAGAGAAGCUUCUGGGGGGCUUCAGGUACAUCUGCCAAAAGCCUUCACCUUGCCCUCAAAAACAGUUGAGUUUCACCAGAG
ensembl:lncRNA